rnacentral:tRNA from 1 species
GCCGGAAUAACUCAGAAGAGCGUUAGACUGAAGUUGCUUACGCAACAAUCAUCUAAAGGCCCCCGGUUCAAUCCCGGGUUCCAGCA